rnacentral:rRNA from 1 species
GACGAACGCUGGCGGCGUGCCUAAUACAUGCAAGUUGAGCGCUGAAGGUUGGUACUUGUACCGACUGGAUGAGCAGCGCACGGGUGAGUAACGCGUGGGGAAUCUGCCUUUGAGCGGGGGACAACAUUUGGAAACGAAUGCUAAUACCGCAUAAAAACUUUAAACACAAGUUUUAAGUUUGAAAGAUGCAAUUGCAUCACUCAAAGAUGAUCCCGCGUUGUAUUAGCUAGUUGGUGAGGUAAAGGCUCACCAAGGCGAUGAUACAUAGCCGACCUGAGAGGGUGAUCGGCCACAUUGGGAGUGAGACACGGCACAAACGCCUACGGGAGGCAGCAGGAGGGAAUCUUCGGCAAUGGACGAAAGUCUGACCGAGCAACGCCGCGUGAGUGAAGAAGGUUUUCGGGUCGUAAAACUCGGUUGGUAGAGAAGAACGUUGGUGAGAGUGGAAAGCUCAUCAAGUGACGGUAACUACCCAGAAAGGGACGGCUAACUACGUG